AGGACAACGCUGGCGGCGUGCCUAACACAUGCAAGUCGAGCGGAGAUACAUUGAAGAGCAAUCAGAUAUGUAUCUUAGCGGCGGACGGGUGAGUAACGCGUGGGCAACCUGCCUCAUACUGGGGGAUAACACAGGGAAACUUGUGCUAAUACCGCAUAAUAUCAUUAUAGGGCAUCCUGUGAUGAUCAAAGGAGCAAUCCGGUGUGAGAUGGGCCCGCGUCCAAUUAGCUAGUUGGUGAGGUAACGGCCCACCAAGGCGACGAUUGGUAGCCGAACUGAGAGGUUGAUCGGCCACAUUGGGACUGAGACACGGCCCAGACUCCUACGGGAGGCAGCAGUGGGGAAUAUUGCGCAAUGGGGGAAACCCUGACGCAGCAACGCCGCGUGAAGGAUGAAGGUCUUCGGAUUGUAAACUUCUUUGAUGAGGGACGAACACAAUGACGGUACCUCAAAAACAAGCCACGGCUAACUACGUG
rnacentral:rRNA from 1 species